AAAUGGAUACCAAGAUUAGAUUGAAUAGUAAUGAAGAAUUUUUCAUGAGACUCGAGCUGAAGAAAUUAUAUAGAAAGACAGAGAUCAAGAAAGGCAGAGAAUAUUAUCAGUCACUAAAUUGGGGCAAAAUUUCAUCAGGCUAGGGUUCGAACCAAAAUGGAAAACAAAUUGGAAACAAGCAAAAUUAAACUAAAUUGAUGAAAAGAUAUUCGAUCAAGAAGCAAAAUGAUUAAAUUGAAACAAAUGUACGAAGAAAAAAGAUAAAAUUGGAACAACAGAAAAAUGGGGAAAAAGCAAACCAGGAAACGAGGAGAGGGUGCAUUCGAGUGGCGCACAACAGAGCAAGGGGGAAGGUUAAGGACGACGACACCGGGACAUUCACAGUGGAGGGACGAACGACAGAUGUGCCUCUCCACCUUUCUUUUGCGUGCAGGAGCUAUGCGAGAGCUUGAGGAAAUCCGUGACGAGGAAGGAUGUAGUAGCUAGCCACCAACUCUGCAGCACCAUCCAAGCCCGUCUUCCUUACUAAAGCCCAGUGCGAGCAAUUGCCACUCCAACGCCGCCAUGAGGAAAAUUGCCAACCAGAAGCGCCACCAAGAGCAUCUCCUUUCUCGAAAUCGACCUUCCUCCGAUUCCGUAGCUGAUUCCAAACCCUCUGCUGACUCCGACUGCCGCGACUGCGACGACGACCGCGAAAGGGAU